CUCUGGAAAAAAGGGACAAAAGGAAGGAAAUCUCUUCUAUUAGUGGUUGACAGUAUGAGAAAUGAUGUCAAAUAAAAUUGUGUAAGGAUUUGGUGUCCCGUUCAGUAUUUGUAUUUGGUAGAUGAUUUGUAAAUAUACAGUACAGGCCAAACGUUUGGACACACCUCAUCAUUCAAUGUUUUGCCUAUACUGUAUAUCUUUGUCAAUAUGCUUGUAUUUUCAUGUACUUUACCUCUGUAUAAUUAUUGCAGUAUCACUACAUGGGGGUUUGAGCCGAAAUGUCAGAUUGCACAGGGCACAUUUAGUUUCCACGUGACGUAGACGCUGACGUCACUAUAACGCGGCGGGGGGAGCUCGGGCGCUCCACGUGGCCUGUUGUUUACGUCUUCUAAGAAAGCGUUCCGACUCCGAAGGAGCGCGAGGGGCGGUUGUGAAACCGCGUCCCUGGAUAUAAUUUCACUCCUCGUGACCCCCUUUUUUUCCGCAAGAGAAAUUAAACGUUGCCGAACCCACAUCCCACGUUUUCCGUCCCUCGGAUCCGCGACCUCGUAAAAGACAGCGCCGAAUGAUGUUACAGCUGGGAAGCUGGCUGGCCCAGUUUCACGCCAACCCCGGCCGAGUCACAUCAGAGGCGGCGGGAAAGAAGGCAGAGGAGUCCGGCCCUGCGGUCCAGGACUUCCUCAAGCAUGCCAGGAACAUAAGUGGGCUGAAGAAAGUGGACAUGUUCUGCAACCUGAGAAUUCCCAACCAGUAUCAGACAUCCAGGGAUGAGAUCAACCUAGUAAUCCUCACAGGUUCAUUGCUGCCCUUCAUCACAAUGCUGUAAUACUGUGUUUAUUUGAACCAAAAAAAUGUUGUUGUCUAUACGGUCAACACGUUUUUGUCCUGUCUUAUAUUCAGGACAAUAUGGUAAUAAUAAGAGGGUGUUUAAUAAGACUGUAACCCAGUCAUGUGCUAAGGAGCAUUUAAAAAAAGCUUCAGUGCUUCUAUUGUUUCUUUGUUACUGUUGUGGUGAAGGUCACGGGGUGUUCUGUGUCGAUGUGAAGAGCUGGGCGGGCCUUGUGCUGGAGAACAAGCAGAACUGGCACCUGCAGGUUAAAGACGACGACCAAACCAUCAGCAACACCUCGAUACAGCAAGUCGCUAACCCUCUGCAAGCCAUAAUGAUCAAAACCACCAACCUGUGGAACCACAUGAAGCGCUGCGGUGUGAAGGUAUCCCAGUCGCUCUUUGUCCCUCGGGUCAUCUUCCUCUCACCUCACUGCCACCUGGAUGACACUCUGAAGAACAGGAAAGAGCUGGUUGCACACGAUGACCUGGACGCAUUCCUGAGCUCAUUCAGGGAGGGCUAUGUGAGCUGGUUGUCAGACGCACUGACACCAUCAUGGAUCUCAGGUCACCUGUCGUAUGGGCAGCUGGGUCAGCUCCGGGAGGUGCUGAAGCGAAUGGGAACGUGGGACGUGGUGGAGCUGCGAGGUGGGGUGCAACUGAAGGGGGAUUUCCAGAGCUGCACGCACAUUGCACUCAACAGGCAGGAGACGGAGCAGCUGGAGUUUAGUGCCAUUGGAACGCUGUCUGCUGAGUCACUCUGGGCGCUGCUGGGACACACACCACAGAUCACGGUGAAGAUGUACAAGCGAGGCGGACAAGGCUGGCUGGGUAAAGCCCUCAGCGGGAGUGCCACCAUUCCCUCCAACACGCACGUGGUGUUCAGGAUCAGCGGUGAGGACACCGAUGCCAAGAUCCCUGCCAACGCCAUCCACACAAUCACCCUCAGCAUAUGAGAAAGGCACAGGACGCUCACUGUACCCACAUUCUGAGUUCUUAAAUUUGUUCCAAAGCAAUGCAUUUUAUGCCCUGAAAUAUACUGUACAAUAACAAUAGUUUAAGUAUUUAGUUGUGUUUUUUUUAUGUUUUUUUUAUGUAUUUAUCAGGAUGGGAGGGGGGUUCUUUAAAUCAGUGUCUCUCAGGGUAGAGGUUAUGCAUGCAAAGUUACGACACGUAUUCUGGCACUUGCGGUGAUUUGCAGGGAACUGCAGAAGUUUUAACAGUUUAAUUAGGAGACAAUGAGCUUUAUGUUAAACCUGUUUGCAUUUGAGGUGAAAUUAGCAUUAGCUUCAUACACCCUGUGUAAUUAACUGCGUAAUUGACUGCGCUGCCUCUCCUCGUCUGGCAAUAUUAUAUUUUUGCAAAUUCAUUGCACAGCACUCAGUGUGGAAUUAUUUUUUUUUUUUUUUUUACUGCUGCAAUUAUGCACUCAACCGGUCAUUUAACUUGACACAUUUUUAAACAUAAAAUCCAUUUGCUGCACCGCUGUCAAGUUGGGGGCUGGCUGUCGCUUUAAAAUCCCCAUUCGCUUGUUGCAGGUCCGAUUCCACUGUUGCAUCUGUCCCCAUACACGCACAGUGUUGUGGUAAUGAAUUAGCAACACUAAUCUCCUAUCGAUGACCGUAGUGUCAGCCCCCCUGUUAAAGUAGCCGUUAAUUGCUUUUUGUGUCACCACAGCCUGAAGUGUGGUGCCGAUCUAAAUCAGGAACGCCCCUGUGUUGUGGAUAGAGUUGUGGGAAGGUGGCCUGUUUGUGUUCCCAUUGACCGUUAAGAGACGAGUAACCAAUGAAGCGGCUGCAUACUCCCAGAAGCAUCGUCGUUUUCAUACAGGCCAUAUAACCUCCCACUUCCCACCAAGCAGACACUCGCAGGAGUCCAUUAACAGCUGGCAAUCCCAUUUACGGUGUCUGGCACUGAGCUAAAUUAAGUUACGCGCAUCGAAAACAUCAGUGCCUU
ensembl:lncRNA uncharacterized LOC114784459